UCUUUUUUUUAAAGUAGUGUAUCAAACUCACAGCUGAUUUUGCUGGGUAUGACGGAAAGUGCCAGCUGUUCACAGCCAACAGACUAGAGUGACACUUGUUUAUUGGUCAUGCUUCAAGAAUCCUGCGAAGAAUUCUUGCAGUUCCAAACAAUGCUGAUUUUUGUAGGUUUUC